rnacentral:tRNA from 2 species
GCCGCGCUGGGCGGUGGUGCGUCGGUGACCGAAGCGGUCACGGUCGCGGUCGAUCACGCGUCCCGGUUCGUGUCCGCGGGCGGCGC